rnacentral:misc_RNA from 1 species
CUGAAGACACGUAUGUAGUAGCUAGGUCAGCAUAAAAUAAUAAUAUUUAAAUGUGGGGUCCAUAGUAGUUAACUAUGGUACUAAUAUAAUGAAAAAACAUUUGCAUUUUGGCAAAACUAAAAUGUUACUGUUCAAUUUCCUUCCAUUACAAAGCAAGCAUUGACUAUUUAAAGCUUUGUUUUAAAGGCUCUCUGAACUUGUAUGCAUAAAGAAAGAAGAAUCGAGUGGCAACUGGGAGUAAGGAGGGAUUAUUCAAGGGUUUGGAUUGUGCUCAAAGGAAGAAUAGAGAUUGGUUCAUCUGACAUCGAAGUGUGCUUUGUGUUGUAGAGAGCUUUGUAGAAUGGAAACGGAAAACGGACACGGAAAAACGACCUUUUAAAAAAUAUAGGAAACAAAAACGUGAGGAAAACGCUUGAAUAUAAAAAAUAUAAGGGGUAUAU